UACAGAGGGUGCAAGCGUUGUUCGGAAUCACUGGGCGUAAAGGGCGCGUAGGUGGCCUUCUAAGUUGAACGUGAAAUCCCUGGGCUCAACCCAGGAACUGCGUCCAAGACUGGGAGGCUUGAAUCCGGGAGAGGGAUGCGGAAUUCCAGGUGUAGCGGUGAAAUGCGUAGAUAUCUGGAGGAACACCGGUGGCGAAGGCGGCAUCCUGGACCGGUAUUGACACUGAGGCGCGAAAGCGUGGGGAGCAAACAGG
rnacentral:rRNA from 1 species